GAUGAAGAACGUAGCGAACUGCGAUAAGUAAUGCGAAUUGCAGAAUUCAGUGAAUCAUCGAGUCUUUGAACGCACAUUGCGCCCCCUGGCAUUCCGGGGGGCAUGCCUGUCCGAGCGUCAUUACUGCCCAUCAAGCGCGGCUUGUGUGUUGGGUCCUCGUCCCUCCCGGGGGACGGGCCCGAAAGGCAGCGGCGGUACCGUCCGGUCCUCGAGCGUAUGGGGCUUUGUCACCCGCUCGAUUAGGGCCCGGUCGGCGCCAGCCGUCAACCCCCAAUUUUCUUUUAUUCAGGUUGACCUCGGAUCAGGUAGGGAUACCCGCUGAACUUAAGCAUAUCAAUAAGCGGAGGA
rnacentral:misc_RNA from 1 species